rnacentral:lncRNA from 1 species
CACUGAUGCAAUACUUUAUUAUCCAACGUUUCAACAGCAAGCUGUCUUCAUCAGGGUCAAUGUACAGCAUGAAGAAAGGACGUUCUGCAAUGAACACAUGGUGUCUCUCUGAUCCUCUUCUCUGUUCCAGGACCUUAUUGACUCACAGAUAGAGAGCCGGCCCAGCGUCAAUUUCUAUGUGUCACUUUGUGCUGCUUUUCCAAAAAGAUAUGCGUCACAACGUGCUGACAGGAAGGUCAGAGGGAUGGAUCAUCAUGCCUUCAUUUCCCUUAUUCCCAUUAUCCACAUAGUAUACUACUGACUGGAUGAAUAAAUAUUACUCCUCCCUUUUAUUACAUUCUCAUACGUUGGUCAAAGUCAACAGUACGGAGUCUUCUGUGAGUUACUGGGAACAUUAAUGAGUAAACGUGAACCAACAGUACGGAGUCUUCUGUGAGUUACUGGGAACAUUAAUGAGUAAACGUGAACCAACAGUACGGAGUCUUCUGUGAGUUACUGGGAACAUUAAUGAGUAAACGUGAACCAACAGUAUGGAGUCUUCUGUGAGUUACUGGGAACAUUAAUGAGUAAACGUGAACCAACAGUAUGGAGUCUUCUGUGAGUUACUGGGAACAUUAAUGAGUAAACGUGAACCAACAGUAUGGAGUCUUCUGUGAGUUACUGGGAACAUUAAUGAGUAAAUGUGAACUCCCUUACUGUUCAUUGUAAUGCGUAGUGAAACGCCUGCUCGUUUAUGUUCAGUCCAACACCAAGACAACAGACCAAAAUGGGACACCCCAUUAUUGCAUUACUUAAUUGUCAAAGGAAGUUUACAGUGCUGCACUUCUGACACAUACUGAAAUUCUUCAAUGACUACUCUGGCUGUUGCUUCAAUGACUAAUCUGGGUGGGAAAUCUGGAGUAUUUCUGAUACAUUUACAGUACAGCCCCCCUCUAGUGCUGCAUCCUGUGGUCUGACACGUUUUACUACUAACAACUGUACUCUGCUGCAACAGGACAGCUGUGUUGCACCCUACUGGGAAGUGGACUGCAGGUGUGGUGUAUAAUGUAUGUCUAGUUGUGUAUGUGUGUAGGGGGGAAGUGUGUGUGUGUGUGUUGGUAUGGUGGCCACAACUUCAUAUCUUCUAGAGCAGAAGUGAUGCUCUCGAACAUGGCCAUAACUUCAUAUCUUCUAGAGCAGAAGUGAUGCUCUCGAACAUGGCCAUAACUUCAUAUCUUCUAGAGCAGAAGUGAUGCUCUCGAACAUGGCCAUAACUUCAUAUCUUCUAGAGCAGAAGUGAUGCUCUCGAACAUGGCCAUAACUUCAUAUCUUCUAGAGCAGGAGUGAUGCUCUCGAACAUGGCCAUAACUUCAUAUCUUCUAGAGCAGGAGUGAUGCUCUCGAACAUGGCCAUAACUUCAUAUCUUCUAGAGCAGAAGUGACGCUCUCGAACAUGGCCAUAACUUCAUAUCUUCUAUAGCAGAAGUGAUGCUCUCGAACAUGGCCACAACUUCAUAUCUUCCAGAGCAGGAGUGCAACUCCAAUACUUCAUAAGACCAUGCACUACAGUAGUACUAUUUUGGUUAUAUAGGUUUCUGAUCGAAGACUGAGACAUCUGUUUGGCAAUUUCACCUGAAGACUGAGACAUCUUUUUGGCCAUUUCACCUGAAGAAUGAGACAUCUGUUUGGCAAUUUCACCUGAAGACUGAGACAUCUGUUUGGCCAUUUCACCUGAAGACUGAGACAUCUGUUUGGCCAUUUCACCUGAAGACUGAGACAUCUGUUUGAUCAUUUCACCUCAAGACUGAGACAUCUGUUUUGUCAUUUCACCUGAAGAAUGAGACAUCUGUUUGGCCAUUUCAACUGAAGAAUGAGACAUCUGUUUGGCCAUUUCAACUGAAGACUGAGACAUCUGUUUGGCCAUUUCACCUCAAGACUGAGAUAUCUGUUUUGUCAUUUCACUUGAAGACUGAGACAUCUGUGUGGCCAUUUCACCUGAAGACUGAGACAACUUUUUGGCAAUUUCACCUGAAGAAUGAGACAUCUGUUUGACCAUUUCACCUGAAGACUGAGACAUAUUUUUUUGCCAUUUCACCUGAAGACUGAGACAUCUUUUUUGCCAUUUAAGCUGAAGACUGAGACAUCUGUUUGGCCAUUUCACCUGAAGACUGCGACAUCUUUUUGGCCAUUUCACCUGAAGACUGAGACAUUUGUUUGGCCAUUUCACCUGAAGACUGCGACAUCUGUUUAGCCAUUUCACCUGAAGACUGAGACAUCUGCUUGGCCAUUUCACCUGAAGAAUGAGACAUCUGUUUGGCCAUUUCACCAGAGGUUGCAUCAUAAUGUCAUGAUUAGAGUGGUGGGCGCUAGUGGAUUCCGGUGCAGCCGGGAACUUUAUUGACCAGACCUUUGCCCCCCUCUGAACAUAAUCUCAUACACGCUCUCCUCUCAGUGUUCGGUUCAAGCCGUUGUUAAUCGGCCACUAGGAUCCGGAACCAUCACACACCGUCAUCGUGGAGUCCAUUCAUCAGGAAAAUAUUCCCUUCUUCAUCAUUAGUUCACCAGCUCACAACAUCAUCCUCGGCCUCCCAUGGCUCCAAUGCCAUAACCCCACCAUCUCAUGGUCGAGGAUGAGAAUCAUGGACUGGUCACCCGAAUGCCGGAGGACCUGCUUUCCCGUCCCCUCUCAAGUCGUAGCCCCUGUGGUCUGGGACGUAGAUGUGGACAUUCGUCAGGCUCUGGAGAGGGAACCCGCACCCACUACCUGUCCUCCUGAGUGCAUCUACGUUCCCACAGGGAUAAGGGAUCGGCUGCUGACCUGGGUGCACGCAGAUGUCGUCACUGGACAUCCAGGGAUCAACCGUACUAUUUAAUCUCUCUCCGAAACGUAUUGGUGGCCCACCUUGGCGCAGGACGUUAUUCACUACGUCAACUCCUGUUCUGUGUCUGCCCAAACUAAAUCCCCCCUGGCACGCUCCAGCAGAGAAACUCCUUCCCCUUCCCGUGCAUCAGCGUCCCUGGUCUCAUCUAUCCAUUGAUUUUGUCACUGAUUCCCCCCCCCCCCGAUGGUGGCUGUGGAUAGAUUCUCCAAAUCCUGUCGUUUUAUCCCUCUCUCUGGUCUCCAUACUGCUCUCCAGGUCACUAAGGCACUGUUCCAGCAGGUCUUCCGGC